rnacentral:lncRNA from 10 species
UCAGCCUUGAAAAGGAAAGAAAUUCUGACACAUGCUAUAACAUGGAUGAACCCUGAGGACAUUAUGCUAAGUGAAAUAAGCCAGUCAUAUAAGGACAAAUACUAUAUGAUUCCAUUAAUAUAAGGUACUUAGAGCAGUCACACUGUUCUAGACAUAAAAUAGAAACAGAAAGUAGAAUGCUAGUUGCCAGUGGAUGGGGGAAUGGAGAAUGAGGAGUAGUUGUUUCAUGGGUAUAGUGUUUCAGUUUUGCAAGAUGAAAAGAAUUCCAGAGAUUGGUUGCAAAACAAAGUGAACGUGCUUAAUACUCCUGAACUGUACACUUAAAAAAAAAUGGUUAUGGUGGCCAAGGCAAGAGGAUCACUUGAGGCCAGGAGUUCAAGACCAGCCUGGGCAACAUAGUGAGACCCUAUGUCUACAAAAAAUGAAAGUAUUAGCCAGGCAUGGUGGCGCAUGCCUUUAGCCCUAGCUACUUGGAAGGUUGAGGUGGGUGGAUAGCUUGAGCCAAGGAGUUCACAGUUACAGCGAGCUAUGAUCACACCACUGCACUCCAGCCUGGGUGGUAGAGUGAGGCCCUGUCUUUAAAAGAAUAAAAAAGGAGGUUAUGGUGGUACAUUUUAUGUUACAUAUAUUUUACCACAAUUAAAAAAUAACUUAAAAUGGUACAACACUUCAGAGACUUGGAGUUGCGUUAAUCCCAACUCUAAAGUCCCUUCCUGGAAAGGCAUCCUAGGCUACUGCUGCUGAAAGAACACCGAUCCCACGCAGCCCAUUCAGAACUCUUCUUGCUGACACCAAAAAGAAUAAGAAAUUGCAAUGUAAUGUUUUUGAACUUGAGAGUGAGAUGAUUUAACUUCAGAUUUUAAUUUCUCAUUUUGCCUUUUUUGGCCCUUAACUUGGAAUUUAAUUUUGGACUUCAGACUCCUUGGUAAUUUGGUGUUAGAGGGGUUUAUGUUCAAAUCUAGAGCAUCUUAUUGUCAUUUUAUUGUUGAGGUACCUUUGUGAUAUCACUUGAUUUUGCUGCACAGUCUCUGAUAGGUUCUGUUGGGCAGUGUGAUGUCUGGACAUAAUUUGAGAUGGAAAAUAGAAAAGGAUCGACAAUUUUUAUCUUGACUACAGAAAGGCCUUGAAGAACACAAUGUACUGUACUGGCCCAUCUCAGAACCUUAUGGGGCAAAAACACACAGUACCUUUCUAGAAAGAUCUACAUGGAAGUGACACUGGAGAUGGGGGUAGGAGUUUAUUCCCUCUCUGAAGAUGCUAUCCCUAUAAUAUAUAUACCUAUAUAUGACUGGGUAUAAUGUGUAAGCACAAUGGGCUCAAAGAACAAAAAAUUGAGGAAUUUGGGGAUACAGAUAACUUAGCUACAAUAAAUGUGUUAUAAUCACACUCAUCCCUCGUAUGUCCAAAUGAAGAGACAUUCCUUAGUCUUGGCCCCUCUCUGCCUCCUCACACUCUCUUGUUUGGGGGAGAUCUGAUUGGUAAAUUUGGAAGCAGUGAGUUUGAGCUCUGCUCUUUCUCCUUCUCUUUUCUACUUGGGCUCUUGCUGCCUUCAAGGUGCUAGGACCCUGGUCCCUUUGGUCCAAGUGGUGAUUUUGGCAGAAAAGACCCUUCCCUAGUUGGGAGAUACCUGUAGUUCUCCAGUUUUGUGCAAGGCUGGGGAGAUAAAUUCAAUAUUGGGAUUCAGUAUUAUUGAUAAAACCUAGGCUGGAGGAUGUAGUUUAGGAAUACAAAAGCAAUGGAAUUUCUAUCAGAAAAAAAGCAGAUAUUUUGAUCUCAAAACAAAACAAAACAAAACUAAAACCUGCAAACAAAACCCAGUGUACCUUGCAUUUGUAAAGUGCCAUGAAACCUGCAGUGCACCUUCAUCCACUCUAUAUGAUUAGAUCUUGCUGAUGACCCAGUGAGGUAGGAUAGAUGUGAAAGUCUUUUGUAAGCUGCUUACGUAUCAUCAUUCUUCUUCUGAAUGCAUAACGCAUGUCACUGAGCUUUGGGGAGGUUAACUAACUUGUCCACAUUAUAGGUGAUGGGCUAGAGUUAGAACUCAAGGCUUGUGCCUUCUGGCAAUGCUACAAAAUAAGUUGGCAAGAAUGAAUUCAAAGUGUGGUAGUACCUUCAUCCGGAAACUGGUUUGAUCCUACAAUCUUGUUUUAAAACAAUUGCUUAUGACUUACUGAAAGGACCUUUAAGACUGGUGUGUGUAUUUGUAUCACCUGUGAACCAUGGGUAGAUUCCUGUGUCAGAUUCUCAGAUAUCCUGAUUUAGUAGUUCUGCAAUGGAACCUAGAAAUUCUCAUUUUUAUAAAGACUCCAAGCUCUUCAAAACUUUUACUUGAUUUUCUGUAGACCAAGUUUCCAUCACUCCUACUCACCCCACAUUAAUGUUGACAUUCUUCUUAGUGGUAUGUAAAGAAAUACUGGAGGAACAAAUUCUGGCUUUCUGAGAAAAAUGGAACCCAUUAGACUACUUCAUGGUUAAGCAUGGAUGUGCUCAUUUUGAGUGAUGGGGUCACACUGAUCCAAACACACCUCCCCCAGCCCUCAGGGGACCACAGCCCCACUUUUGGAUGCAGCAGAGGAUCGUGUAUGCCCUGAAAGGGAGUGAAGCUCUGAAGGCACCAAACCCACAACCUGAGCCUCCACGCAACAAAGUCAAUGACCACAUCAUUAACGAAUCCUGAAUUUGUCAGCCAAGCAGAGGCAAUGCUUGGGGCUUAACGAUUGUCCACAUAUCAUGUAACAAAUGACCGUGUGUGCAUGCAUGUGUGGGGGAGUAAAUGAGAAAGCAUGUUUUGUAAGAAAAUUUAAUUUCCUUAUAACAACCAACCAGUUUCUUUUAGUGAAUCAACAGAUAAGGGGGUCCCAAAUACAGCAUUAACGAUUUUAAAAGCAUGAGUGCCAAUGGUAUUUUCUUUCUUUUUCUUUCUCUUUCUUUCUUUUUCUCUUUCUCUCUCUCUGUCUCUCUCUCUUUCUUCUUUCUUUCUCUCUUCCUCUCUUCCUUUCCUUUCUUUCUUUUUAAAGAAAGGCAAGGUAAAGAUUGGGAAUGUUGAUGAACGAUGGCCCCAUUCUCUAAGAGCUCAGUGAGAGUCUGUGUCAACUUGUUUUCCUCUCUUCCUCCCUCCUAGCCAAGCUUCAGAGGAAACUCUUUUCAUGUGAAAUGUAAGGGAUGAAUUUCAAGCUCCACUGAGAGCUUUAAAACCUUAAAUUCUUGAAAUAACCUGCCUCUCAGGAAUCAUAGGUCCCAAAGAAUUGUAAAGCUUUCCCUUAAGCUGUGGAAUGGCUCCAUUGCUAACUAUGAUUACUUAAGUCUCAGAAUAGAAGGAUGUAAUAAAUCUGACAGUAUUUGUUCUGGUUUGUGACUAAGCAAAACUGUAUAAUAUUAAAUCAGAUGUUGUUAUAAACAUAUGAAAUGGCACAUUUUUUUCCAACUUGGGGCAUUGUGGCAUGAAGCAUCCCCCCAAAAAUGUUUUUGCAUUCUUGGAUACCAGCUCUGGUUUCUGCUAGAUUUCCUUCUUUCUGAGCAUGGAUGCUAAAUAACAGUGCUUCUUUUUAGCCAUCUGUAUUUCCUGUGAGUUAGCAGGGCUGAGGAGACCUAUUCUCAUUUCUUUGUGUGCUUCUCUAUGGGGUGGAACUGGAGACUCAGGCAGAGCGUGUGGAUUUCUGUGUGUGUGUGUGUGUCUGUAUGUGUGUCAGGUGGAGGAAUGAAUGGCAUCCUAACACCCUGGAAUGUUUGGGUUGGAAAGGCUCUUGGAUACAAACUAGUUAACUCACCUCCUCAUUACCCAGGUCAUAUUUUUAAGCUUAGGUCCAAAUGUGUGGGAGAGAGAAUGCUGGAAAGAUCUGGAGGUUGGAAGGUUGGAAGGAGUUUUGAAAUGGGAGGGAAUUCAGCCAUUGCUUUCACUCCUCUUCCCGCCUGAGUCCUCAACAAAAGGGACAUUUCCCCUUCUUUUAAAGACUUCCUGAUAAAAGGAGUCUUCAUGGACACCCCCAUAAGCAUAAGGCAGCACAAGGGAGGGAGCUCCGGUGGUGGCGGAGUUGGGACACUCAGGCACAUGGUUGCAGAGGCGCAAAGGUGUGACCGUUCUAGGUGUAUCUUCCACAGGGCCCUCGUGGAAGGGACCAACUGCAUCCCCUAAAACUGCCAGGGCAGCUUCCCAUGAUGCUGGGCUGAGUCCAGAUUUCUAGAUUUGGCUGGUGCAAGCUCCUGGUUUGCUAGAAAAUUGCUGAUGAAAUAGGAGGGUUGUCAGGCCAUGGGACAAAUCUGCCGCUGUCCUCAGGGGUCACCCUGCCUGGCUUUGUGUGCUGACAGUCAUGACCCUUUGGACGUCUGCAUGUUUGUCUCUGGGUGAGUGGCUGUGUUGGCAUUUAGUUUUCAUUUGCUAUAUGAUGAGCAAAGAACCACAAAGAAGUCCUAAACACACCUGGUGCUAAAAAGUGAUUACCCUUGCCCUUGUUUUAGGACUUACAGCUACUUUUUCUUUCUGUAGCUUCCAAAUAUUUUAUUUUUUAUAAUUAAGAAAGUAAAUUUAUAUUAAAUUUCUUUUCUGAGACAGAGUCUCGCUCUGUCACCCAGGCUGGAGUGCUAUGGUGCAAUCUCAGUUCACUGCAACCUCCGCCUCCAGGACUCAAGCCAUCCUCCCACCUCAGCCUCAUGAGUAGCUGGGACCCAGCUCUGCCUGGCUAAAUUUUGUAUUUUUUGUGGAGAUGAGGUUUUUUAUGUUGCGCAGGCUGUUCUUGAACUCCUGGGCUCAAGUGAUCCACGUGUCUUGGCCUCCCAAAAUGCUGUGGGAUUACAGUUUUGAACCACUGUGCCCAGCCUAUGUUAAAAUUAAUUUUUCCAUUUAAAAUGUCGUUAAUUAAAAUUCAUAAAAUUUAUAUCAAAAUCAUAGCCUAGAAUCUCUGCAUAUGUAAGAAUCACUUUUUAAAAAGAUGAUUUAGGAUGUUGAUAGCAUCUUAUGAAUUGUUUAGAGCUGCACUGUCUGACAUGGUAGCCAUUAACCACGUGUGGUCAUCGAGUGCUUGACACGUGGCCAGUAGAAAUUAAGAUGCGCUGUGUAUGUAAAAUACACACCCAAUUUCAAAAACUCAGUACAAGUGAAAAUGUAAGCUAUUUUCGUAAUUUUUGUAUAAUGAUUACAUGUGAAAUGAUAAUAGCUUAUAUAAUAUUAGGUUAAAGAAAGCAUUAGAAUUAAUUUCAUCUGUCUCUUUUCACCUCUUAAUGUGGUUACUAAAAAAUUUUAAAUUACAUAUGUGAGUGUUGUAUAAAGAAGAGAAGGUUAGCAUUCCCCUUGACAAGGAUGGAAGAGGCCUGUACAACACUCAUAUAACUUCGGCAUUGCCACCUUCUUUGUAGCAUCUAACCAUGGUUUUGAGGAUGGAAAAUGAUUGUGUAAUUGGUACGAGGUUUCCUUUGUGAUGAUUAAAAUGUUCUGGAACUAGAUAGUGGUGUCAGUUACACAAUAUUGUGAAUGCACUACAUGCCACUAAUAGUAAAUGUUAUGUAUCUUUUACUGCAAUAAAAAAUUAUGUGUGUCUCACAUUAUAUUUCUAUUGUGCAAUGGGUGUUUAAAGAGGUAGAGGGUGUGGCUUUGCUUACAAUAGUGUCUCUAGAAUGGGGAAGAAAUUGAAAGAUACAAUGAUGGGAUGAAGACUGCAGG